UGCCGUGAUGUUGUAAUUUGCGUCCUACUCUGCAUCAUGCGACAGUUGCCUGCUGUCAUUAUGCUGGUGUGGAUGGCUGUUGAAAAACUUGAAUACUGAGCA